CUUUUUUGCCGGUUCUUCCCGCUGAGGAAGUGUCGCUCAAGACGCUGGCCUAUGAAGGAAGACAAACAUAAAGAUGAAGUGCUUAAUUCAAGGUCACACAAUGUCGGGGAUGGACCUCCAGAUUUCCUUACUGACCUGCAUUAUCUUGUGGAUACCUGAGUGAAUUCCACACCACCCAUUUUAUAGAUGAAACCACUGAGACAUGGAGCAAUUGACUGAGUAGUCACUGCCCCACCCCUGCCUGGAGCCUCACACAUGACUCGCCUCCUCUCAGUGACCACAGGUGAGACGUGGUCUUGUAACACAGUGGUUAAGAAUGUGACUUUGGAGCCAGCCUGCUAGGGGCUGAAUUCUGACUCAGCCAUUUACUAACUGUGUGACCUUAGGUCACAGAAUUUUCCACACUCCUUGACAGAGGUGCUUAACCCUUAUCCAUCAGCAUUCUCAGACAGCACCUCCGGUUAGGGACAGUAUCUGACCGUCCGACAUCCCUGCAGCCCCCAUGUGUCACACAGACUCAGCCUCAGGUAGAUGGUUUCCGUAGAUGGUGGCUUUCUUUGGACCCUUGACAUCAACCAGUUACUAUUUGACUCUUCUGCAGAACCCCAUGUUGACCCCUGCUUUGAGGUGGCAGAGUUAACACUACUCUUCGUUAUAAGCUCUCGUCUGGGGCAACUCAGAAGAACGUAAGUUCCAUGGGGAAGGUUUUUGUUUGUUUCUAAUUGUGGUAAAAUAUAUAUAACAUAAAAUCGACCAUUUUAAUGAUUUUUGAGUGUACAAUUCAGUGACAUUAAGUAUAUUUACAAUAUCAUGUAACCAUCAACACCAUUCAUCUUCAGAACUUCUUCAUCUUCCCACACUGAAACUCUCUACCCACUAAAC
rnacentral:lncRNA from 1 species